rnacentral:rRNA from 1 species
UACGUAGGGUGCAAGCGUUGUCCGGAAUCACUGGGCGUAAAGGGCGCGUAGGCGGCCUGGCAAGUCGGUGGUGAAAGCUCGGGGCUUAACUCCGAGUCCGGCCAUCGAUACUGCGAGGCUCGAGUCGACUAGAGACAGAUGGAAUUCCGGGUGUAGCGGUGGAAUGCGUAGAGAUCCGGAAGAACACCGGUGGCGAAGGCGGUCUGCUGGGGUCGAACUGACGCUGAGGCGCGACAGCGUGGGGAGCAAACAGG